rnacentral:snRNA from 1 species
UGGCCCUGGUUUGGGCUACCCCAGAGCCUCCAAAAAUUAACUGAAUUUGAAACUGUUAGCCACUCUUGCUGAGAGGUUAUUUGUUAAGUUUAAGAAAAAAUAA